GAUGAACGCUGGCGGCGUGCCUAAUACAUGCAAGUCGAGCGAACAGACGCGGUGCUUGCUCCACUGACGUUAACGGCGGACGGGUGAGUAACAUGUGGUUCACCUACCUAUAAGACUGGGCUAACUUAGGGAAACCGGAGCUAAUACCGUAUAAUUUCUUGAACCGGAUGGUUCAAUAGUUACAGACGGUUUUGCUGGCACUUAUAGCUGGAUCCGCGCUGGGUUGGCAGGUUUGUAGGGUAACGGCUUACGAAGGCAGGGAUGCGUAGGCGACCUGGGCGGGGGAUUGGCCACAGUGGAAGUGAGACGCGGCCCAGAGUCCUAGGGAAGGCCGCGACAGGGAAGCUUCGGCGAUGGGCGAAAGCCUGACGGAGCAGCGCCACGCGAGUGAAGAAGGGCUUCGGAUCGGAAAACGCUGUUAUGAGUGAAGAACGAAUGUGGAAGUAACGAUGCACGUCGUGACGGUACCUAAUCAAAAAGCCCCGGCUAACUACGUG
rnacentral:rRNA from 1 species